UGACUGGUAAGUAUACAUUUCUAUAAUAAACACAUACUAAAUAAUCUUUCUUUUCCUUUCUUUUCUUUUCUUUUUCUCUUUUAGAUGCAGUAUUUCCAGGAUGUGGAGUCGCAUUUCCGGACUUACAGUAAGAUGACUGUAUUUCCAGGAUGUGGAGUCGCAUUUCCGGACUUACAGCAAGAAGUUGGAUGAAGGCCCAGCCCCAGGAAUCACGCACAUACACAGACACUUUGCCCAAAUUCUAGAGGUAACCUCCUUUAGUAUGCCCAGAGGAAGGGCAGUACAGUAGCCAUGGAUUCCCUACAGGUUUCCUCCCCUCUGGAGGUUUUUCCUGUCCUGAGUUAGUUACUGUACGCUCUUUGUGAGUGAUGGGAGGUUACAAAAAAAUCCCGACACAAACAUUUUAAUAAAUAAUAAAUAAAGUUCCCCUUUUUUAAAACUGUU